rnacentral:rRNA from 1 species
AUGCCCGGCCGUGCCCGGCCCGGCGGGUCCUUGUCGUCCCACCUCGCCGUUUAUCACGAAGACCCGAUCCAUUUUAAAAGGGCGGACGCGCCCGGCAGGAGGAAAAGUGCACUGGAGUUGUUUGUCGGAGGCAGCAGGAGAGCGAAGGAAGGAGCGAGGAAGCUUGCUGCGGUGGAGAGGCGACUUGGUUUGCUGUGCAUGGAAGGGGCGGGGAGCGGCGGGAAGAUGGCAGGAGGAGAGGGCAUGGCCGGCCGUGCCGGUGCCGGUGCCGCGGCGGCGGCCAAGGAGAAGUCCGGCUUCGCCGCCACCUGCAGCCUCCUGAGCCGCUACAUGAAGGAGAAGAAGAGCGGCGCGCUGCAGGGCCUCGUCGGCCUCGACAUGUCGCCGCCGGCCGCCGUCGUCGGUGAAGAAGGAGCUUUCCAGCCGCCCACCACCAUGAACCUGCUGUCGGGGCUGGAGGAGCCAAACGCCGCGGACGUGGAGUUCCCCCUCGAGAAAUCUAGUGUUGGCCAGUUUCUCAAGGCCACAACUGACAACCAAGAUGCCGGACAGGAUGCGCACCAGCUCACCAUCUUCUACGGUGGAAAAGUGGUCGUGGUUGACAACUUCCCGUCCACCAAGGUCAAGGAUUUGUUCAAGAUGGCCAACGGCGCCGGCGACAAGGCCGGGAGCAGCAGCCUCGUUCAGCAGAGCCCUCCCCAGCCUGCACACAACACUCUCCCAGAUCUGCCCAUAGCGAGGAGGAACUCACUCCACAGGUUUCUCGAGAAAAGAAAGGGCAGGAUAGUGGCGAAGGCGCCCUACCAAAUUAACGGCUCAUCGGCGGCUCCGUCCAAGCAAGCUAAUGGUGACAACUCCUGGCUCGGGCUGGGCCAAGAAGUGACAAACUGA